CCCAAUUACUGUGACAGAAAUUAAAAUGAGUAGCCAGUUACUUGGGAGGCUGAGGCAGGAGGAUCACUUGAGUCCAACAGUUCUGGACUGUAGUCAUAAGUUCAUCAUCAAUAUGGUGACCUCCUGGGAGCAGGGGAUCACCAGGUUGCCUAAGGACGGGUGAACCAGCCUAGGACAGAAUCAGAGCAGGUCAGAACUGUGCUAAUUAGUAAUGAGGUUGUGCCUGUGGAUAGCAACUGUACUCCAGCCUGAGCAACAUAGCGAGACUCCAUCUCU
rnacentral:sRNA from 10 species